rnacentral:rRNA from 1 species
CAAGGGCGUAUAUUAAUGUUGUUGCAGUUAAAAAGCUCGUAGUUGGAUUUCUGGUGGGAGCGAUUGGUCUGCCCCGCGAGGGGUAUGUUACCGGUUCGUAUCCGGCCCUAUUCGGGUUGAUCGUGGCUGGCAUUAAUUUGUCGGUGCGGGAGGCCCGUCGUUUACUGUGAACAAAUUAGAGUGUUCAAAGCAGGCUUUCGCUUGAAUACAUUAGCAUGGAAUAAUAAGAUAGGACUUUGGUGCUAUUUUGUUGGUUGAGCCUAAAGUAAUGAUUAAUAGGGAUAGUUGGGGGCACCUGUAUUGCGUUGUCAGAGGUGAAAUUCUUGGAUUUACGCAAGACAAACAGCUGCGAAAGCGUCUGCCAAGGAUGUUUUCAUUAA